rnacentral:rRNA from 1 species
GGUUAAAACGCUCGUAGUUGGAUAUUUGUUGAGAACUGCCGGUCUACCCUAGUGGUGAGCACUCGGUUUGUCCUCGGCACUUUCCUGGGGAGAGUGUUUGCACUUCAUUGUGUGGCACAUGAUCCAGAACUUUUACUUUGAGGAAAUGAGAGUGUUUCAAGCAGGCGUCUGUCGUGAAUACGUUAGCAUGGAAUAAUAGCAUAGGACCGCGGUCUGACGCUGUUGGUUGUUGGACCGGGGUAAUGAAAAUAGGGAUAGUUGGGGGUAUUCGUAUUUAACUGUCAGAGGUGAAAUUCUUGGAUUUUUUAAAGACGGACUACUGCGAAAGCAUCUGCCCAGGAUGUUUUUAUUGAUCAAGAACGAAAGUUAGGGGAUCGAAGACGAUCAGAUACCGUCCUAGUCUUAACCUUAAACCAUGCCGACUAGAGAUUGGGGUCGUCAGAAUCGUGACGCCUUCAGCACCUUGUGAGAAAUCAAAGUCUUUGGGUUCCGGGGGGAGUAUGGUCGCAAGGCUGAAACUUAAAGGAAUUGACGGAAGGGCACCACCAGGAGUGGAGCCUGCGGCUUAAUUUGACUCAACACGGGGAAACUUACCAGGCCCGGACAUAGAGAGGAUUGACAGACUGAUAGCUCUU